rnacentral:lncRNA from 10 species
GGGAAAACUAGAAAAUACAGAAAUAUAUCAAGAAGAAAAAAAAUUUAAAAAUGACCCAAAAUCCCACCAACCAGAGACAGCUAUUAAUGAUUGUGGUAUAUUUAUUCCUCACAGCUGGGCACAGGAAAACACGGAAUAAGGACCCAGUGAACUAAAGGGGCUGAAGCCAUGACUAGGAAUCAUAUGCAUGAAGAAGCCCAGAAGAGCCAAUCCUCCCCAGAAGGGCACCCGGAGACCACUAAGGAAGGAGGGAGGAUACCUUCUGUUCCCGUGUUCAGGCUCCAAUGUAUCCAGGUCACAGGAGGCUGCCUCUCCAGGCAGAGAAACUGAUCCGUCCCUAUCAGUGCCAGGCAGAGGGCAGGGGAUUUCGCACCUGAGCAAGGGUUGGGAUGACUCCCAAGCUUCCAUUCUCCCUGGAGUUCCUCCCGAGGGUCUCUGUGACACAGAGGAGGAAGCAGGAGCUUUCUU